AAGUACAAAACUAUGCCCACGUCAUCUUUAACACCAGUUCAAAGCGUUCUAGAGAAGUGUCGGAGUGGCCAAACCGUAACUUUGGUUCUUUUUGCCUCUCCAGCCAAAAGAACCAACGACAAGCUGGAUAAAAUCUGUUGCUGUUCCCACUGCUGCAAUGGUUCCUUUCAGAAUAAAAGCUGAACCAUCAAGACCCCGGUUUGGGUCUCGCUAGAUGCCAAUAAAAUCAUCGUGACCCGGAAGUAUCUCAAAGACUGGUCUGGUCGACAACCGCUGCUUUUCCUACCGGCUUCGGUUCCAGAGAAGGUCAAGCUGGACCUCAACAUUCCUGACCUAACGGGGACUUCCGCUAAGGUGCUAGCCCUGCAUUAGACUGGUGACUUGUCCAGGAUGAACCUCACCUGUGACCCUGAACUAGAAGAGAAAGAUAUGCUGUCAAUGCUCACACAGCCUGCCACCUGCCUGCCUGCUCUCCUGGAAGUCUGUCAAACUCCUCCCAUAAUCCCUCAGCACCUCUCUGCCUCAGUAGUUCAAAUACAGACAAAGGUAAAAUGAUUGGACUUAUAUGACAACUAAUUAUGCUCCACUGUAACCGUAGACAACCAUCUAACCAGCUUGUCUUGGACUGGGAUUGUACAGGACUACUUGCUGUCUUGGAUUUGUCAAGGACCUCUGCAAGUGAAAGUGUCUGUUCCAGCCAGGUCGUCUCUUCCAAAAAGGGAUAUUCAAACUGACAAGAGGCAACUCUGAAAGCAAAGGAUUGCAAUCAUUUAUCCUGACUCUAUAUUAUUAAAUUUUACUUUUUCAAACUAAAUCCACAUCAUGGGCAAAGGCAAGAGUGAGGAGUGGGAUGAAAAGCACAAUGACACAAGAACAACUCAGCCCACAAAACAAGAAGAAAAACAACCUAAUCGCUCCAAAAACAAAUGUCCCAAGUGCUGCUUGAAAACCAGGGACUGCCUGAUGAGUCCAGAGUGUGGCAGGUGUCUUCAGAUCUCCAGCGUUGUUGCCUUUUGUGGGACGUGUAUCCGCAUGUGGACGUAGGGAAGCCUGAGGCAUCAGAACCACCUGUUCUGGACUACAUCUAUAGAACACCCAAGCCCCUUGAAUACAUUGGAGUCAUGCUGUCUGGUUUUAUCCUUUUCUCAGAUGAGAAAGUGGAAGUUUCCUUCCUUCUUAUUUUAUAACUUAUAUUUUUGGAAGGUAUUCAAUGUGAAGUAAAAUAUAUACCAGUAUUUCUUUUUUUUAAGUCAAUAUAAUUUGAAUGGGAUUUUUUGGCUUAACUUCAGAACAAGAAACUGUACUUUAUGUACAUGUAACUUUAAUAUUGUCGAAUGUGUGUCAUGUUUUCAAAAUGCAAAUAUCUGAAGUUGAAAUCAUAAUAUAAAUAAUCAACUGCCAUAUGUAAAUAAAAAGACAAAAAUCACAAACAGUCUGCAAUAAAAAAAAAUACAAGCAUUAAACAAAAAAAGAAAAAAAAAGAAAGAAAUGUGUUUGGUUGUUAAGUGAAUUGCAAAAAUAAAUUAUAUUUGAAUUUUAAUAAAUUCUCUGAGGCUUGGAACCCCUCCAGCGUCCAUACGUCCUUGGGGGAAGGUCUGUGGCCCCUCACACUCACUAUUGUACACUCCUAUAGAGAAACCUUACAAGCACAUGUAUGCACACUAGUGCUCACAUGGUGCUCUUACAGUAGUGUGGACUUGGGAAUUUUAAACACAUGACCAAAGGCUGUGCUUGGCACUAAUUGUACUAUGAAUUUUUACCAUGUGCUUUUCAGUAAAAAUUGUUACUGUUGUAUAUCCUCAUGUUGUGGGUGCAGUGACAUUUUGGUUUUGAUGUAAUUUUGUGUAUCCCCUUUUCUCUUGAUUUCUGCAGGUAAAAAAGCACAUUUUUGUUAAUCAGCUAUUAGUCUGUUUUUUUUACCCCCACCUCUUAUUUUUUCUCCACCUUUCUCUUUCACUCCUGUCUCCGUGUCUGUUGCAAUUUAAAACCACUGAAAAUAUUUCUAAUAAUGAUUUGGUGUCAUGUGUGGUGUUGAUGCCACCUGUGAGAGAAGAACUGCCUUCAGCAUUCAGACAUCAAUUCUGAAAGCUUCACAACCAGAAAGGAAACUGUAAAAUAAAUAAAUAAAUAAAAAGAAUUCCUAUA